rnacentral:rRNA from 1 species
GACGAACGCUGGCGGCGUGCUUAACACAUGCAAGUCGAACGGAAAGGCCCUGCUUUUGUGGGGUGCUCGAGUGGCGAACGGGUGAGUAACACGUGAGUAACCUGCCCUUGACUUUGGGAUAACUUCAGGAAACUGGGGCUAAUACCGGAUAGGAGCUCCUGUUGCAUGGUGGGGGUGGGAAAGUUUCGGCGGUGGGGGAUGGACUCGCGGCUUAUCAGCUUGUUGGGGGGGUAGUGGCUUACCAAGGCUUUGACGGGUAGCCGGCCUGAGAGGGUGACCGGCCACAUUGGGACUGAGAUACGGCCCAGACUCCUACGGGGGGCAGCAGUGGGGAAUAUUGCACAAUGGGCGGAAGCCUGAUGCAGCAACGCCGCGUGCGGGAUGACGGCCUUCGGGUUGUAAACCGCUUUCGCCUGUGACGAAGCGUGAGUGACGGUAAUGGGUAAAGAAGCACCGGCUAACUACGUG